ACAGCCUGCUGAGCAGCUGUGGGCCAGUCAGAUGUACCAAGAUGGUUUCACAGGCUCCACUCCUCUGCCUGUUACUGCUCUGCAUCCACGGUUCAAGUGGAGACCGUGUGAUGACCCAGACUCCAGAGUCCCUGGCCGUGUUCCCUGGAGACACCGCCACCAUCAAGUGCAAAUGCAGCUCCAGCCUCACAUCCGCAGGAAAGGAGUUCCUAGCCUGGUACCAGCAGAAACCUGGACAAGCUCCUAAACUCAUCAUCACUUUUGCUUCUACACGGCAACCGGGAGUCCCGGCCCGCUUCAGCGGCAGUGGGUCUGGAACAGAUUUCAUUCUCACCAUCAGCCGGGUGGAAGCUGAAGAUGCUGGACAUUAUUACUGUCAGCAGAAGUAUGGUACCCCACUCACAGUGAUACAAACCAGUGCAAAAACCUCCCGGCACUCUUCAGACCAGCACGGCAGGUGGAGCGAGGAGCCAGAAGCAGAUCCUGAUGCCGGUAACAGUGGCAGAGGGAACAAGGAGCCCAAAGAGGACCCUGAUGCCGGUAACAGCGGAGGAGGGAACGAGGAGCCAGAAGAAGCCUCUGAUGCCAGCAGCAUCGAUGGAGGGGCCGGAGAGCUGGACAUGGCUCUCUAUGCUAUAAUAGGUGGGACCGUCGAGGGCACCAGGGAGGCAGAAGAGACACUCCCUCCAGGAAGCAGCAGGCAGGGACAGCACAAGGGGCUGUGA